GACGAACGCUGGCGGCAUGCCUUACACAUGCAAGUCGAACGAGUGGCGCACGGGUGAGUAAUAUAUCGGAACAUGUCCUAUCGUAGGGGAUAACUGAUCGAAACAUCUGCUCAUACCGCUUACGAUACGAUCGGCCGAUGCGCGAUUAGCUAGUCGGUGAGGUAAAGGCUCACCAAGGCGACGAUCCGUAGCUGGUCUGAGAGGAGGACCAGCAACACUGGAACUGAGAAACGGCCCAGACUCCUACGGGAGGCAGCAGUGGGGAAUUUUGGACAAUGGGCGCAAGCCUGACACAGCCAUGCCGCGUGUAUGAAGAAGGUCUUCGGAUUGUAAAGCACUUUUGGCAGGGAAGCGGUACCUGAAGAAGAAGCACCGGCUAACUACGUGCCAGCAGCCGCGGUAAUUC
rnacentral:rRNA from 1 species